AAAUUGAAGAGUUUGAUCAUGGCUCAGAUUGAACGCUGGCGGCAGGCCUAACACAUGCAAGUCGAACGGUAACAGGAAGCAGCUUGCUGCUUUGCUGACGAGUGGCGGACGGGUGAGUAAUGUCUGGGAAACUGCCUGAUGGAGGGGGAUAACUACUGGAAACGGUGGCUAAUACCGCAUAAUGUCGCAAGACCAAAGAGGGGGACCUUCGGGCCUCUUGCCAUCAGAUGUGCCCAGAUGGGAUUAGCUUGUUGGUGAGGUAACGGCUCACCAAGGCGACGAUCCCUAGCUGGUCUGAGAGGAUGACCAGCCACACUGGAACUGAGACACGGUCCAGACUCCUACGGGAGGCAGCAGUGGGGAAUAUUGCACAAUGGGCGCAAGCCUGAUGCAGCCAUGCCGCGUGUAUGAAGAAGGCCUUCGGGUUGUAAAGUACUUUCAGCGGGGAGGAAGGUGUUGCGGUUAAUAACCGCAGCAAUUGACGUUACCCGCAGAAGAAGCACCGGCUAACUCCGUGCCAGCAGCCGCGGUAAUACGGAGGGUGCAAGCGUUAAUCGGAAUUACUGGGCGUAAAGCGCACGCAGGCGGUCUGUCAAGUCGGAUGUGAAAUCCCCGGGCUCAACCUGGGAACUGCAUUCGAAACUGGCAGGCUUGAGUCUUGUAGAGGGGGGUAGAAUUCCAGGUGUAGCGGUGAAAUGCGUAGAGAUCUGGAGGAAUACCGGUGGCGAAGGCGGCCCCCUGGACAAAGACUGACGCUCAGGUGCGAAAGCGUGGGGAGCAAACAGGAUUAGAUACCCUGGUAGUCCACGCCGUAAACGAUGUCUACUUGGAGGUUGUGCCCUUGAGGCGUGGCUUCCGGAGCUAACGCGUUAAGUAGACCGCCUGGGGAGUACGGCCGCAAGGUUAAAACUCAAAUGAAUUGACGGGGGCCCGCACAAGCGGUGGAGCAUGUGGUUUAAUUCGAUGCAACGCGAAGAACCUUACCUGGUCUUGACAUCCACAGAACUUUCCAGAGAUGGAUUGGUGCCUUCGGGAACUGUG
rnacentral:rRNA from 1 species